GCUGACUUUUCCUACAAGAAUUAACAACAUUAAACCUAGAAUAUGCUGAUCAUAAUAUUAAAUGACUUAUGGAAGGAUAAUUUUGGCCUUACAGUUCAUUGAAUAAGUAACCCCAAGAAUGUAUUUGAAAUCCUAUGGAAAAAUUGAAAAGAAAAUUAUCUCAAAUUGACUACAUCAUAAUCUCCCAACAGAAAUACUACUACAAUGCUUUAUGUGUUCAUAGAUGAAUUUUCAUUUUUACCAUUUAGGAAAAUCACACACCGAAGCAGUGUAGGAGUGAAAAUAUAAUUGCACUACUCAUGUACUAAAUGUACUAUUCCACAUCCCACCAUUAAGUGAAAUUGAAAUUA